CCAGAACUGGGGAAGAGAGGCGGAACUCCUGAGCCCUUGGGUACUAGUGUUCCUUACAUCGAACAAGAACUGGCCGCUGUUUCAGACCGGAAGGGUGCAGAGAUGAAAGACAGGACCCAGGGUCUCAGGAUGCCUGUUGCCUCCUAAGAGAGUUGGACAUUUCUAUUUUGAUUUGCAUUUCAAUUGAGGUUGAUAGGGAGUGACCUUCACGUCUGAAUGACCUGCAGAUGAGAACAGAAUAGACUUGAUUAUGAAGCAAGAAAUUUUUAAAGGAUUUAUCUGAUGGAACAUCAAGAGGAUUCUUUCUUUCUUUUAAGAGAUAUGAGGUCUCACUCUGUCAUAGUGGCACAAUCAUAGCUCAGUGCAGCCUUGAACUCCUGGGCUCCAGCGAUCCUCCUGCCUCAGCCUCCCAAGCAGCUGGGACUACAGAUGAAUACCAUCAUGCCCCCAGCUAGUAAGAGGGUUCUAUGUGUUGAUUCACUGGGAAACCAGAGACUAGAGAUACCUGUGAAGACACUUUCAAGAAGUUAGAAGAAUUACCCUUGAAUGAAGAAAGGAGCUGACUAGAAGUAGUUUAUUGAAUAACACACAAAGAUUGUUUCAAACCUACAAAAGAUAAAUGUGAGGAAGGGAUUUGGGGAAUCCUCCUAUGUCCUCCAGUCUGGCUAUACAUUAGGAUGGAACAGAAAUCCUACCAAUGUGAUGAAUGUGGCAAAGCUUUCAGAGUGCAUACCUCAAUGGCCAUCAGAAAACCUAUACUGGAGUGAAACC
rnacentral:lncRNA from 1 species